UAGAAUUGUUCAGUUAUAUGCAUAUUGCAGGAUGGGGGGAGGUGAAAGAUUACAGAUAGUGGAAGAACUUGGUGGGAGAGAGUCAAAGCCACUUUUAUUAAGGGAAGGAGAUUUCCUUUGGAUGAUGCUUUCCAUGUUGUUAGAAGAAAACUUCAGACAAAUCAAAUUUAAUGGAGUUGGCGAUCCGCCCGCCUCGGCCUCCCAAAGUGCUGGGAUUACAGGCAUGGGCCACUGAACCUGGCCUGACGGUUUCUUAUAAAGUUAAAUAUACACGUACAUAAACAUAAAUUUAUGUUAUGAUCUGGCAAUCUCCCUCCUAGGUAAUUAUCCAAGAGAAAUUAAAAUAUAUGUUCACACAAAGACUUGCACAUGAAUGUUUAUAGUAAUUCUAUGCAUAAUAACCAAAAACUGAAAAUACAUUUGACCCUUGGAUAACAUAAGGGUUAGGGGUGCUGACCCCUGCACAGUCGAAAAUAUUUGGCUGUUUAAUUAGCAAAAUUCUAUAUGAUUAAAGUAGUCACUUGAAAAUGUCUUUCAAAAGUAAAGCAUUUUAAUAAGCUCUAGUUCUUAGAUGAUCUACAUAAGUUGAUCUUUGUGUUCCCCUCUGGAAUUGACUAGUUCUGCAGUUUGAGUUAACGAGUUCCUGGAUUAGUACGUACAUAACACAGAUUGAAGCAUGUCAUGUUCUCAAGGAAUUCAUCUUCAAGGCAGGUAGUUAAGCAUACAUGAAGAAAAACAACCAAAUACAACAUAUCAUGGUUUCAUAUCAUAUCACAGCACCAAGGGAAGAAUGCUUAAAGGAUUAUGGGAACAC
rnacentral:lncRNA from 1 species